rnacentral:sRNA from 1 species
GCCCAAACCGAAUCACCACACAUCGACAAUGAGUGGCUUAGAGCCAACGCGGUUAGGGCCAAGGAGGACUCAGGCAAAGAAGAAACAAGAACCUGCAACAAAAUUUAAGUAACAAAAAUCUAGAUCUAAAAAGAGAAAAAAGCAGAGAAGGAAUCAAAAUGAAACCAAUCCACAGAUCUCUCCACACAAAGACAUGAAACUAGAUAACUAAACAAAAACUGAAAGAACCAACCGACGCCGUGACCAUGGUGGCCCACACGCGCCGGUCGGAGACGAAGAACACAAGCAGCGGCGAGUUGAAGAGAGAAGGGAGAAAAAUAAGAGAGAGAAAAAAAAAAGGUAGUUCUCUAACUCUUGAGUUAUAUAAUUACAUUGUUUAGCACUUAUUUACAGUUACUUACCUUAAAAAAGUUGUUAU